rnacentral:misc_RNA from 1 species
GUAGGUGAACCUGCGGAAGGAUCAUUAACGAAACGUACCCUCGGGGGGUUGUGCUGGCCUCGCGCAAGUGCACGCCCCCUCUGGCCGUCCGUCCUUCACACCCGUGCACUCACCCGUCGGACAGGGGUGGCCUCCGGGCCCUCCGGUCCGGCGCUUUCACAUCAGCCUACGAACGUACGUCGAAUGCAUUAUUGCGCGCGCGCAACCGAAAUACAACUUUUAACAACGGAUCUCUUGGUUCUC